CUCCUUCUGAUGAGCUCUUUUCCGCAGCAAAAACUCCACCAAAAUCCGCCUCUGAACAGUUGCUAAAAACUUUAUGCACAACGCUACAAGAACUUAAACACUCUGAUGGUUCAGUUUCCGGCGAUGGGCAAAAUCCCACGUUCAAAUCGAUACCGAGUCCCUUAUUCUCUUCUAACUCACGAUUCAAAGACGAUCCUCUCGAGGUUUCUUGUGGUGGGUAUGAAGCAAUGAUUCGUAAAAUCUUUUGGAGGAACAUUUGGGACUUGGAAAACCCACGGCGAAUAUCAGUAGAACAAGGAGAAU
rnacentral:misc_RNA from 1 species